UUUUUUGGGGUCGUGGCCUUGCUCCUGCCCUGCAAGAGAAGCGUCCAGGGCUUUCACGCGCAAGUGUGCGCGUGGGUCCUGACGUGCUCGUAGGUCCACGCUCCAGACUCUGCGGGGACAGAAGCAGGAGCCAUGGGCGGGACCGCUAGCACCCGCCGGGUCACCUUCGAGGCGGACGAGAACGAGAACAUCACCGUGGUGAAGGGCAUCCGGGUGAGUGCCGUGGGCGGGCGGAGGGCAGCCUUUGACCUCGGAUCCCAACGCUGAAAUGUGCCUGGGACAGCUGCACCUGCUUUCUCCGCUCUCGGCCCGCCCUGCUGUCCCGCUAGAAGUCUGGGUCUCUGGGAAGAAGCUCGUAGUUUCAAGACUCCGAACCUCCAUUCAGAGAAAGUUCUUGGUUGUGUGCCAGGAGCCAUGCACUGUGCCGGGGUGGUGGUGCCGGGUCACCACGGUCGUCCUUGCUCACUAGUUGCAGGACUUUAUUAAAACUCUUGCUUCACUGUGCUGGUCCGUGUGCCUCCUGUACAGGACCCAAGCCCUUCUUUUCCACGCACAGUUCUUUCUCAGAGUGAAUUGGUGUUUUAAGGAUUACUCUUCUUUGCCUCUGUUAUUCCCUGCCCCUCUUCUGGUAUUACCAUUCAAGUCAUUCCUGACCCUGCUGCUAAUUUCUGGCUUCUGGCUCUUUCCCUUCCACCUGAUAAUUUCGUUUUCCCAGGCGCCUCCCCUGUGGUUUGUUGGCCCAAGUUAUGAACCUGACCCAGUUGGACUAUACAGGCCUAUAACUGCCAGCCUGCUAGGGGCGGAGGUCGGUUUGCAGGCCUUCAAGGUUGUAGAACUGAGACAACUUCUAAGGGAUCGUUAUAGAGACUUAUUAAAUGCCCUCUGCAUGUACUUGAUACAUGAACUGAAAACUUGAAUUUCCUCUAGGGCGUUAGUAUACACACUAACAACUUUAAUAUUCUCCUUUGCCUCGACUUUGGAGCUUCAUGCUUUGGGAAGUACACUUACUUGUAUCUAGUAAAUAGAGCACUAUGACUUCAGAAGGUUUUAGAGUACUUUAUAUUUUCUGUCUACUGCUUUUACACAACUACUCUUAAUUAACUAUGUAAGAGUUACAAGGAAAUAAAAACUUAAAAACAUUUCAACUGCUUGAAAACUUUUUCCUUUGAAAUUUGUUACUUUGAAAAGAACUUAUUAAAGUUUUAUUGAUUAGAAACCCCAGACUGUUGAACUGAGUUUUUGAGUCUGUGACCAGCAAUUCUCACUCUACUAGUGAUAGAGCCCUUUGCCUGCUGUGGUUUAGUUGGUAGUUUUUGUAGUAAGAUAAGAAUUACUGCAUACUUGAGUUUUGUACAGAGGUGGAGGGAAAAAAAAAAACCAAAAAAGAAAGGAAAAGAAAGUCGAUAAAAGGCUUAGAAUGUUGAAAACUU
rnacentral:lncRNA from 1 species